GGGGGUAGCACAAGAUCAGGGGCUGUGUCCGCCAGUGCCUUGGGAUCUGGGUCCUGCACUGCUGGAAUCACACUCCCAGAGCCGCAGAUCCCA
rnacentral:pre_miRNA from 1 species